UACGGAAGGCAGCAGUGGGGAAUAUUGCACAAUGGGCGCAAGCCUGAUGCAGCCAUGCCGCGUGUAUGAAAAAGGCCUUCGGGUUGUAAAGUACUUUCAGUCGUGAGGAAGGUGUUAAGGUUAAUAACCUUAGCAAUUGACGUUAGCGACAGAAGAAGCGCCGGCUAACUCCGUGCCAGCAGCCGCGGUAAUACGGAGGGUGCGAGCGUUAAUCGGAAUUACUGGGCGUAAAGGGCACGCAGGCGGUUAAUUAAGUUGGAUGUGAAAUCCCCGGGCUUAACCUGGGAAUGGCAUUCAAGACUGGUUAGCUAGAGUCUUGUAGAGGGGGUUAGAAUUCCAUGUGUAGCGGUGAAAUGCGUAGAGAUGUGGAGGAAUACCGGUGGCGAAGGCGGCCCCCUGGACAAAGACUGACGCUCAUGUGCGAAAGCUGGGGAGCAAACAGGGAUUAGAUA
rnacentral:rRNA from 1 species